CCUGAGUACAUUACACCAACACAGCAGAUUUCAUAACAUGUAAAUGUUUAACAUUUAAGUUCCAAGCCAGAUAAAAUCCUUUGACACCCUUCCCCCAACACCAGAUGCUUUACAACCUUCCUGAAUAUACUGUAUAGUCACUAUUGCCCAAUCGUCGUUCCGGUGUCCCAUAAUUUUCUGAUUUGGGGGAACACAGCUGACAGCUUAGCUUAUAAAACACAUUUGAUUUUAUAAUUUAUCCUCAAAUUUAUCUACAAUGAUCUAAAAAAUGAAGUUCUUUGAUUUAAUCACUUGAGCAAUUUUCAUUCUUGACUCUUAAGGAUCAUUAUGAUGUACAAUUUAAUUUGCAUGAUAAUUUACACCUGUCUGGACCUCUCUCCUCCGCAGAGGCUUUAGUUUUCUUAGGAUUUUAAAUAUUACGAUGAGAAACAUUUCACUACACUCUACAUGGCGGAUCUUGGAACACGAGCGUAGAGUGUCUGGACCAAGACCAGUUUAAUUGUGAGCUAAAAGUUGUUUGUCCUUUGGCUUUGAUGAUAGUCUGGUAACAUUUCACGUAAUUCAAAUGCAUUUUUGGAAGAGUCUUUGAAGGAACUGUUAUGGUUGUCAUUGGUCAAUGUACUUGAAAUGUUUUUCAACAGAUAUAUUUUCCUGAAACUGUACUUUGUCCUUUUGAUCAAAGCAACUUUUAAUAGCAGCGUAUUGUUUUUACCCAGUCGCCAUGAAAUUGUGCUGAAACAACGCUUUGCUGUAAAUAACAAAUUCUUGCAAAUAAUUUUAAUCUCAAGCUCAUUGGCUUGUGUCAACCAAAGGCAAAGUAAACAUGAAGCCACUACUGAAACCCAGAUUCUUAUUUGCCUUCUCGAUAUACGCAAACUAACAGUUUUUUGUCAUUGUCAAUGUGCUUGAAAUUUCCAACUGACAUAUUUUCCAGAAACUUUACUUUGUUAUUUUGCUCAAAGCAACUUUUAAA